rnacentral:lncRNA from 1 species
CUCUGAUUCAUUAAUUCUUUGUAAAUUCUUUUGGUCUCAAUUUCAUUGAUUUCUGCCCUUAUCUCUAUAAUUUCCUUCCUUGUAGUGGCUUUGGGUUUGGAUUUAUCUUGUUUUUCUAGGAUCUUGAGGUCCAUUGUUGGGUUAUUUAUUUGGGCUUGCUCUGUUUUUGUAUAAACACGCCCUCCAAAGUGAGACAUUUUCUGACUGACAUCCCCGGGGAAAUCUACCUCGGCACUGAGGGGAUGAGGGUGGAGUUGGUUAACUGGCAAUGCCUUCAGAAAGAAAAAAAGCACAUCCAAAGACAAUAGUGGAAAGUUGUGAACAUCACAGAGUAGCGGGGGACCACCCUCCCCAAAUAAGUCGAGCUUCAGAGUUGUGAAAGAAGGUUCUUCUGCCCGAUUGCCUAAAAGCAAAAGCCUCUUCCAGCAGGUGUAAUGAUUAGACAUCAUCUGACUUCAGCUUCUUUUGUAUGUGACUUCACGACCCUUAGUGAUACUUUUUCAGCUCAAGCAUCCAGCUUUCUCUUAUGUUUCAGCUACUUGUGAUGGAAUGUGCAGGCCAGUCCAACAUGAGCCAGCCAGCCAGAUGAUGCAGCACCUCCAGGCCCUCAAGAUUGAAGGCUAGAAUAAAGCCAGAGGGAAACUGUAGCUGGCACUGCAAGAGGGACCUUGGAAAGUUAGACAUUUUUUCUUCUUUCUUGGCUCGGGUCCUUGUAACAGAUUUCACCCACGUGCAGGUCUGCCUGGGUCUUGGAUGAUGGCCUGGGAAACAGGAGCGCUCUGUGUGGGAAGGGACCUAUCAGCUCAUUGCUACAGAGUAACCUUGUUUCACCCUUCAAUUGAAAAGCCAGUACCAUUCAUGGUCAUCGUUUGAAUUCCCCCUCAAAGGCCCAAAAUACCCCUGGGGAGAGUAUCAUACCAGGUCCAGAAUCACUGCUAUUUCUUUUUUGUUAAACACACCGUGAACAAUUUUUCAUGUCAUUAUGUGAAUCCUUGGACAAUAUUAAGAGUUGCCCAGUGUUCCAUGAAAUGGAUGCUCCAUAAUUUUUUCAACUGACUUUUUAUAGUGGGG